GACGAACGCUGGCGGCGUGCUUAACACAUGCAAGUCGAACGGAAAGGCCCUGCUUUUGUGGGGUGCUCGAGUGGCGAACGGGUGAGUAACACGUGAGUAACCUGCCCUUGACUUUGGGAUAACUUCAGGAAACUGGGGCUAAUACCGGAUAGGAGCUCCUGCUGCAUGGUGGGGGUUGGAAAGUUUCGGCGGUUGGGGAUGGACUCGCGGCUUAUCAGCUUGUUGGUGGGGUAGUGGCUUACCAAGGCUUUGACGGGUAGCCGGCCUGAGAGGGUGACCGGCCACAUUGGGACUGGGAUACGGCCCAGACUCCUACGGGAGGCAGAAGUGGGGAGUAUUGCACAAUGGGCGGAAGCCUGAUGCAGCAACGCCGCGUGCGGGAUGACGGCCUUCGGGUUGUAAACCGCUUUCGCCUGUGACGAAGCGUGAGUGACGGUAAUGGGUAAAGAAGCACCGGCUAACUACGUG
rnacentral:rRNA from 1 species